ensembl:lncRNA
GGGUUUGAGGUCUAUAUGGGAUCCUGGGGUCUAUGGGGUGGGAUUUGAGGUCUAUAUGGGGUCUAUGGGGUCGGAUUUGGGGUCUAUACGGGAUCUAUACGGGAUUUGGGGUCUAUGGGUUUGGAUUUGGGGUCUAUAUGGGGUCUACAGAGUGGGAUUUGAGGUCUAUAUGGGAUCCUGGGGUCUAUGGGGUGGGAUUUGGGGUCUAUAUGGGAUCCUGGAGUCUAUGGGGUGGGCUUUAGGGUCUAUAUGGGGUCUAUGGGGUCGGAUUUGGGGUCUAUAUGGGGUCUAUGGGGUGGGAUUUGGGGUCUAUAUGGGGUCUAUGGGGUGGGAUUUGAGGUCUAUAUGGGGUUUAUGGGGUGGGAUUUGAGGUCUAUAUGGGGUCUAUGGGGUGGGAUUUGAGGUCUAUAUGGGGUCUAUGGGGUGGGAUUUGAGGUCUAUAUGGGAUCCUGGGAUCUAUGGGGUGGGAUUCGGGGUCCAUAUGGGGAACUAUGGGAGUCUAUGGGGUGGGAUUUGAGGUCUAUAUGGGGUUUAUGGGGUGGGAUUUAGGGUCUAUAUGGGGUCUAUGGGGUGGGAUUUGAGGUCUAUACGGGGUCUAUGGGGUCGGAUUUGGGGUCUAUAUGGGAUCUAUACGGGAUUUGGGGUCUAUGGGGAGGGCUUUGGGGUCUAUAUGGGGUGUAUGGGGUGGGAUUUGAGGUCUAUAUGGGGUGUAUGGGGUGGGAUUUGGGGUCUAUAUGGGGUCU